CAAUAGCGUAUAUUAAAGUUGUUGCGGUUAAAAAGCUCGUAGUUGGAUUUCUGCUGAGAACGGUCGGUCCACUCUUGGAGUGUGUAUCUGAUUCGGUCUUGGCAUCCUCUCGGAAACGGCUGCGCUUCAUUGCGUGGUCGGUGUCCGAGACUUUUACUUUGAGGAAAUUAGAGUGUUCACGGCAGGCUUCCGCCUUGAAUAUAUUAGCAUGGAAUAAUAAUAUAGGAUCUUGGUUCUAUUUUGUUGGUUUCUAGAGCUAAGAUAAUGAUUAAUAGGGACAAUUGGGGGCAUUCGUAUUAACGCGUCAGAGGUGGAAUUCUUGGAUUGCGUUACGACGAACUACUGCGAAAGCAUUUGCCAAGGAUGUUUUCAUUGA
rnacentral:rRNA from 1 species